AACGCACAUUGCGCCCCCUGGCAUUCCGGGGGGCACGCCCGUUCGAGCGUCAUUCUCACCACUCCAGCCUGGCUGGGUCUUGGGCGACGGGGUCUCCCCGCGCCCCAAAUCGUUCGGCCGCGCAGUCGCGUCGGAGCGUCGUGCACACGUCUCGCUCACGACCACCGGCUGGCCGCGGCGGCGGCGCGCCUCGAGCGCGCACCCACCUACAGGUUGACCUCGGAUCGGGCGGGGAUACCCGCUGAACUUAA
rnacentral:misc_RNA from 1 species